AAUGUCAGACCUUAUAAAAGAAAGAAAAGGCUACUGUAAGAACAUGUAUGAGUUAUUUGAAAAAUGUAUAAAAAUAUUUCAAGUGUAGAAUAUGAACUAAAAGUAUGAUCACUGCGAUUAUGUGAUGACGUGAUUAGACUAUGUGCUGACUGUAAUAGACAGUACUAUGUGUUAUGAUAUAUUGUUCUAAUCGAACGAAUGAUCUGAUU
rnacentral:lncRNA from 1 species